GACGAACGCUGGCGGCGUGCUUAACACAUGCAAGUCGAACGGAAAGGCUCCAGCUUGCUGGAGUACUCGAGUGGCGAACGGGUGAGUAACACGUGGGUAAUCUGCCCUGCACUCUGGGAUAAGCCUGGGAAACUGGGUCUAAUACUGGAUAUGACCUUUCUCCUUAUGGGGUUUGGUGGAAAGUUUUUCGGUGUAGGAUGAGCCCGCGGCCUAUCAGCUUGUUGGUGGGGUGAUGGCCUACCAAGGCGACGACGGGUAGCCGGCCUGAGAGGGUGAUCGGCCACAUUGGGACUGAGAUACGGCCCAGAAUCCUACGGGAGGCAGCAGUGGGGAAUAUUGCACAAUGGGCGGAAGCCUGAUGCAGCGACGCCGCGUGAGGGAUGACGGCCUUCGGGUUGUAAACCUCUUUCAGCAGGGACGAAGCGUAAGUGACGGUACCUGCAGAAGAAGCACCGGCUAACUAUGUG
rnacentral:rRNA from 1 species